GAUGAAGAACGCAGCGAAAUGCGAUAAGUAAUGUGAAUUGCAGAAUUCAGUGAAUCAUCGAAUCUUUGAACGCACAUUGCGCCCGCCAGUAUUCUGGCGGGCAUGCUUGUUCGAGCGUCAUUUCAACCAUCAAGCCCCAGGCUUGUGUUGGGGACCUGCGGCUGCCGCAGGCCCUGAAAACCAGUGGCGGGCUCGCUGUCACACCGGGCGUAGUAGAUUUUAUCUCGCUCAGGGCGUGCUGCGGGUUCCGGCCGUUAAAAAGCCUUUUUUACCCAAGGUUGACCUCGGAUCAGGUAGGAAGACCCGCUGAACUUAAGCAUAUCAAUAAGCGGAGGA
rnacentral:misc_RNA from 1 species